AGCAGCCGCGGUAAUUCCAGCUCCAAUAGCGUAUAUUAAAGUUGCUGCAGUUAAAAAGCUCGUAGUUGAAUUUCGGGACCAUCAUGUCGGUCAUGCCUCGGUACGUACUGGCAUUGUUGGUUUCUCCCUUCUGACGAACCAUGAUGUCAUUUAUUUGGUGUCAUGGGAAAUCAGGACUGUUACUUUGAAAAAUUAGAGUGUUUAAAGCAGGCUCGCGCUUGAAUACAUUAGCAUGGAAUAAUGAAAUAGGACGUUUGAUUCUAUUUUGUUGGUUUCUAGGAUCGACGUAAUGAUUAAUAGGGAUAGUUGGGGGCAUUAGUAUUCAAUUGUCAGAGGUGAAAUUCUUGGAUUUAU
rnacentral:rRNA from 1 species